rnacentral:rRNA from 1 species
CUUACACCACUAACGCCCGGGAAUUACGAGCCUAGCUUAAAACCCAAAGGACUUGACGGUGUCCCACCCAACUAGAGGAGCCUGUUCUAUAAUCGAUAACCCCCGAUUUACCCAACCCCAUUUUGCCACUCAGCCUGUAUACCUCCGUCGCAAGCUUACCAUAUGAAUGCUACAGUAAGUCUAAUGGUCUAAACACCAAUACGUCAGGUCAAGGUGCAGCUUAUAAUAGGGAAAGAAAUGGGCUACAAUUUCUAUGCUAGAACACACGAAAUGCUAUAUGAAACACAGCCAUGAAGGCGGAUUUAGUAGUAAAAGGG